rnacentral:rRNA from 1 species
GUGUCAGCAGCCGCGGUAAUACGGAGGGUGCAAGCGUUAUCCGGAUUUAUUGGGUUUCAAGGGUCCGUAGGUGGUCUGGUAAGUCAGCGGUGAAAGCUCGUAGCUUAACUAUAAAACUGCCGUUGAUACUGUCAGUCUUGAGUGUAGUUGAAGUAGCUGGAAUGAGUAGUGUAGCGGUGAAAUGCUUAGAUAUCACUCAGAACUCCGAUUGCGAAGGCAGGUUACUAAGUUACAACUGACGCUGAUGCACGAAAGCGUGGG